UUAAGCGACUAAGCGUACACGGUGGAUGCCCUGGCAGUCAGAGGCGAUGAAGGACGUGCUAAUCUGCGAAAAGCGCCGGCGAGGUGAUAUGAACCUUUGACCCGGCGAUGUCCGAAUGGGGAAACCCAGUGUGAUUCGUCACACUAUCGUUAACUGAAUACAUAGGUUAACGAGGCGAACCGGGGGAACUGAAACAUCUAAGUACCCCGAGGAAAAGAAAUCAACCGAGAUUCCCCCAGUAGCGGCGAGCGAACGGGGAGCAGCCCGGAGUCUGAAUCAGCUUGUGUGUUAGUGGAACGGUCUGGAAAGUCCGACGGUACAGGGUGAUAGUCCCGUACACGAAAAUGCACAGGUUGUGAACUCGAAGAGUAGGGCGGGACACGUGGUAUCCUGUCUGAAUAUGGGGGGACCAUCCUCCAAGGCUAAAUACUCCUGACUGACCGAUAGUGAACCAGUACCGUGAGGGAAAGGCGAAAAGAACCCCGGCGAGGGGAGUGAAAAAGAACCUGAAACCGUGUACGUACAAGCAGUGGGAGCCUACUUGUUAGGUGACUGCGUACCUUUUGUAUAAUGGGUCAGCGACUUAUAUUCUGUAGCAAGGUUAACCGUAUAGGGGAGCCGAAGGGAAACCGAGUCUUAACUGGGCGUUAAGUUGCAGGGUAUAGACCCGAAACCCGGUGAUCUAGCCAUGGGCAGGUUGAAGGUUGGGUAACACUAACUGGAGGACCGAACCGACUAAUGUUGAAAAAUUAGCGGAUGACCUGUGGCUGGGGGUGAAAGGCCAAUCAAACCGGGAGAUAGCUGGUUCUCCCCGAAAGCUAUUUAGGUAGCGCCUCGUGAACUCAUCUUCGGGGGUAGAGCACUGUUUCGGCUAGGGGGCCAUCCCGGCUUACCAACCCGAUGCAAACUACGAAUACCGAAGAAUGUUAUCACGGGAGACACACGGCGGGUGCUAACGUCCGUCGUGAAGAGGGAAACAACCCAGACCGCCAGCUAAGGUCCCAAAGUCAUGGUUAAGUGGGAAACGAUGUGGGAAGGCACAGACAGCCAGGAUGUUGGCUUAGAAGCAGCCAUCAUUUAAAGAAAGCGUAAUAGCUCACUGGUCGAGUCGGCCUGCGCGGAAGAUGUAACGGGGCUAAACCAUGCACCGAAGCUGCGGCAGCGACACUUAUGUGUUGUUGGGUAGGGGAGCGUUCUGUAAGCCGUUGAAGGUGGCCUGUGAGGGUUGCUGGAGGUAUCAGAAGUGCGAAUGCUGACAUAAGUAACGAUAAAGCGGGUGAAAAGCCCGCUCGCCGGAAGACCAAGGGUUCCUGUCCAACGUUAAUCGGGGCAGGGUGAGUCGACCCCUAAGGCGAGGCCGAAAGGCGUAGUCGAUGGGAAACAGGUUAAUAUUCCUGUACUUGGUGUUACUGCGAAGGGGGGACGGAGAAGGCUAUGUUAGCCGGGCGACGGUUGUCCCGGUUUAAGCAUGUAGGCGGAGGUUCCAGGUAAAUCCGGUACCUUUUUAACGCUGAGGUGUGAUGACGAGGCACUACGGUGCUGAAGUAACAAAUGCCCUGCUUCCAGGAAAAGCCUCUAAGCAUCAGGUAACACGAAAUCGUACCCCAAACCGACACAGGUGGUCAGGUAGAGAAUACCAAGGCGCUUGAGAGAACUCGGGUGAAGGAACUAGGCAAAAUGGUGCCGUAACUUCGGGAGAAGGCACGCUGAUAUGUAGGUGAAGCCCCUGCGGGUGGAGCUGAAAUCAGUCGAAGAUACCAGCUGGCUGCAACUGUUUAUUAAAAACACAGCACUGUGCAAACACGAAAGUGGACGUAUACGGUGUGACGCCUGCCCGGUGCCGGAAGGUUAAUUGAUGGGGUUAGCGGCAACGCGAAGCUCUUGAUCGAAGCCCCGGUAAACGGCGGCCGUAACUAUAACGGUCCUAAGGUAGCGAAAUUCCUUGUCGGGUAAGUUCCGACCUGCACGAAUGGCGUAAUGAUGGCCAGGCUGUCUCCACCCGAGACUCAGUGAAAUUGAACUCGCUGUGAAGAUGCAGUGUACCCGCGGCAAGACGGAAAGACCCCGUGAACCUUUACUAUAGCUUGACACUGAACACUGGUCCUUGAUGUGUAGGAUAGGUGGGAGGCUUUGAAGCGUGGACGCCAGUCUGCGUGGAGCCGACCUUGAAAUACCACCCUUUAAUGGCUGGUGUUCUAACGUAGACCCGUAAUCCGGGUUGCGGACAGUGUCUGGUGGGUAGUUUGACUGGGGCGGUCUCCUCCCAAAGAGUAACGGAGGAGCACGAAGGUUAGCUAAUCCUGGUCGGACAUCAGGAGGUUAGUGCAAUGGCAUAAGCUAGCUUGACUGCGAGAGUGACGGCUCGAGCAGGUGCGAAAGCAGGUCAUAGUGAUCCGGUGGUUCUGAAUGGAAGGGCCAUCGCUCAACGGAUAAAAGGUACUCCGGGGAUAACAGGCUGAUACCGCCCAAGAGUUCAUAUCGACGGCGGUGUUUGGCACCUCGAUGUCGGCUCAUCACAUCCUGGGGCUGAAGUAGGUCCCAAGGGUAUGGCUGUUCGCCAUUUAAAGUGGUACGCGAGCUGGGUUUAGAACGUCGUGAGACAGUUCGGUCCCUAUCUGCCGUGGGCGCUGGAGAAUUGAGGGGGGCUGCUCCUAGUACGAGAGGACCGGAGUGGACGCAUCACUGGUGUUCGGGUUGUCAUGCCAAUGGCACUGCCCGGUAGCUAAAUGCGGAAGAGAUAAGUGCUGAAAGCAUCUAAGCACGAAACUUGCCCCGAGAUGAGUUCUCCCUGAGACU
rnacentral:rRNA from 1 species